UACGGGGGGGGGCAAGCGUUUGUUCGGAAUUACUGGGCGUAAAGGGCGCGUAGGCGGCCUACUAAGUCGGACGUGAAAUCCCUCGGCUCAACCGAGGAACUGCGUCCGAUACUGGCAGGCUGGAAUCCGGGAGAGGGAUGUGGAAUUCCAGGUGUAGCGGUGAAAUGCGCAGAUAUUAGGAGGAACACCGGUGGCGAAGGCGCUGCUCUGGGCCGAAACUGGAACGCUGAGGAGCGAAAGCGUGGGUAGCAAACAGGA
rnacentral:rRNA from 1 species